rnacentral:rRNA from 1 species
AACGAACGCUGGCGGCGUGCCUAACACAUGCAAGUCGAGCGAGAAAGCGGCUUCGGCCGUGAGUAAAGCGGCGCACGGGUGAGUAACACGUAGGCAAUCUUCCAUUGGGAUUGGGAUAACCUGCCGAAAGGCGGGCUAAUACCGGAUACGUUCCCUGGGACUUCGGUCUUGGGGAAGAAAGAGUGCUCCGCAAGGGGUAUUGCCCGAUGAUGAGCCUGCGUCCCAUCAGGUAGUUGGUGAGGUAACGGCUCACCAAGCCGAGGACGGGUAGCUGGUCUGAGAGGAUGAUCAGCCACACUGGAACUGAGACACGGUCCAGACUCCUACGGGAGGCAGCAGUGGGGAAUUUUGGUCAAUGGGCGCAAGCCUGAACCAGCAACGCCGCGUGGGUGAUGAAGGCC